GUGGCGAACGGGUGAGUAACACGUGAGCAAUCUGCCCUUGACUCUGGGAUAACUGCGGGAAACUGUAGCUAAUACCGGAUACGACCCUCGGAGGCAUCUCCUGGGGGUGGAAAGAAUUUUGGUCAAGGAUGAGCUCGCGGCCUAUCAGCUAGUUGGUGAGGUAAUGGCUCACCAAGGCGACGACGGGUAGCCGGCCUGAGAGGGUGACCGGCCACACUGGGACUGAGACACGGCCCAGACUCCUACGGGAGGCAGCAGUGGGGAAUAUUGCACAAUGGGCGAAAGCCUGAUGCAGCAACGCCGCGUGAGGGACGAAGGCCUUCGGGUUGUAAACCUCUUUUAGUAGGGAAGAAGCGAAAGUGACGGUACCUGCAGAAAAAGCACCGGCUAACUACGUGCCAGCAGCCGCGGUAAUACGUAGGGUGCAAGCGUUGUCCGGAAUUAUUGGGCGUAAAGAGCUCGUAGGCGGUUUGUCGCGUCUGCUGUGAAAACCCGAGGCUCAACCUCGGGCCUGCAGUGGGUACGGGCAGACUAGAGUGCGGUAGGGGAGAUUGGAAUUCCUGGUGUAGCGGUGGAAU
rnacentral:rRNA from 1 species